rnacentral:sRNA from 1 species
AUCCCCAACCCCCAACUCCUGCCUUUAAAAACAGGAGCCAAUCCUUCCCAAUAUCCAAUCCUACAAACUUGGUGGUGACUUGGGCAUCACUGAUGGAUAAUUAGGACCUAGAGUAUAAAAUGGCAGAUUGUAGCCGUUCAAAAUCCGGACUUUCUGUUUUAAUUGAGAAGAAUUAGCCUCGAAACAUUUUUUUCCUUGUCACAAUAGGUUUUCCAGUGUCUUGGCAAUAAGGAGUAGCAUUUUAAAUGACCUACAUUUGUGUAGGAAGCCACAUGGUCCAGCCCGGUAGGAUUAGUGAGGGGGGAAGAUAUUCUGGGGUGCUGACUACCCAUCAGGACAAGCAGGCUCCGACUUGGCUUCUCCAGCUCGCCAUCUGGCCAAUGCUGAUUCAUUAGGUAGGUGCCCUUCCUUCUGUUGGAAAGGACAUUUGUUCCCCAUAAUUUGCCACUUUUCCAAGUGGUUAAGGGAAAUUGGAUUUGUUGCAGCGUGCCAGAAGCGAGCAAGACUGGGAACGAGGGCAAGGAUGCCGCAAAAUGGAAAGUCCUCUGGAACCACUGGUGGUGACAUGAGAUGGCACAGCCACUUCAAGAAAGCCUGACAGCUCAUGGGAAGGCACUCUGUCCAGGAGAAUGGGUUAAGGACCUUGGAGCCAGAUGCCCUGAAUACGGCCCAGGCUCCAAUAGGUACUUCCUUGGCUUAACCCAUAAUGUCAAACACAAUCACACAGCACUGCAGCUCGCCCCAGCUCUACUCUCGAUUUGGAGGGUACGGUCAGAGAGGAUGAAGUCAUGGUGCCAGGAGCCUGAGGCAGCUGCUUGCAUUGUAUCCGCAGUGAGGAAGCCGAGAGAGAUGAACCCGAUGAGCAGGUAGCUUCCUCCUUUUCUUACAGUCUGAGACUGAGCCCACGGACACCUGCGUGCAAGAUGGGACUUCCCAGUUCAGUUAACCCAAGUUCUAAGCCAGGCUCUUGGAGAGCUAAAUCCAACGAGCGAGUGUUGGCAGAGCCAUGCUCCCUCUGGAGUGCCUCGAGGACAGUCUGCUUCUAUACCCUUCUCCAGUUCCUUGGGCUGUGUUCCUUGGCCUGUGGCCUUACCUCCACCUUCCAACCCGGCACUGUAGCACCUCCCUUAUUAAAAAGAAAUUAGUAAAAAUGUUAAAAACUAUUAUUUUUAUUUGACGUGUAUGGGUGUUUUUGUCUGCAUGUAUGUCUGUGCACCACAGCAUAUCCGGUGCACACAGAGACCAGAAGAGGAUGUGGGAUCUCCCAGGACUGGAGUUACCGAUGACAGUAAGCCGCCAUGUGGGUGCUGGGAAUUGAACCCAGAUCCUCUGAAAAGAGCAGUCAGUGCUCUUAACCACUGAGCCACAACCCCAGCUGUGGCAUCUUCCUUCUUUAGUCCUAGCCUCUUCUUUUCUAGUUGUGUCCAAUUUCCUUCUGUCUCAUAAGGACAGUAGUGCUCACACUGGCCUGCAGGGAUAACUCACCCGUUCCUUACUUGUGAGCUUCUACAAAGAUCCUCACUCUUUAUCGUGUACCAUGAACGGUCACUGAGACUAGGACCUCAUAUCUUUAGAAUCAUCAAUAAACUGCAGCCCAUCCUAGUACAGAAUGGAAAGCGAUGUCGUGUUUAUGGACCAUGUAAAUGAACAUUCUGCCUGGUGGUAAGAGCUCCAAUUAAUUCAGGAACACUUCGCAAUUACUACUGAAAGUAAACUAUUUUUACUCUCGGGUUCAACAAUUCCCUCUAAUUAGUGCUAAGAAUUCAUCAUAGGAUAUUUUUAAUUAAUUUUUUCCAUGUAAUAUAUUCUGAAUUCAGUUCUCACUGUGUUCUUGACAAUGGGCGUUCAAGGAUUAUUUGUUGAUGUCGUUUAUAGAAGCUACAUUUGCAAACAGCCCACACAGCCUGGCAAUGGGGACCGGGUGAGUGUGCAAAAGGGCUUCCACACCACGGGAUGCUGUAUCAAGCAGAGUGAGACAGUCCUUUGAAGAAAGUCUUCAAGAAUGUGUUCCCAUUGUGAGGACGAAUGAAGAGAGAAGACAGGAGAGGAGAGGACGAGAGAACCUAGAAAUACCCCGGAGGACACAGAAGGUGGGUUGUUCUGUAAGUAUGGAGUCGAGGUGAUGCUUACAUUAUUAUCAUAGGCAUUUAUUGAAUUAUUAAUUUAAAUGUUUAAUAACAAAAUAGAAGGGACAUUUAUUUAAAAGACCUGGCAGGAACUGUGUUGGUAGAGUACUGGCUUGUCAGGACUACAUAAAACUGGAAUGGUGGUGCACACCUCUAAGCCCAGCACUCUGGAGGUGGAGUACCAAGACCAGAAGUUCGAGGCCAUCCUCAGCCACAUAGCAAAUUUGAAAUAGCCUGUGCUACAUGAGAUUCUGCCCCAAAGCCAAAAUUCCUAAAUAAGUUGGCAAAUUACUAGCCCAUCCAAAUUGCACAUAUUUUUUUUUAGUCUUGUCUUCCUAAUUUCCUCUCUUCUUCCAUCACCAAAGAAAGGAAUUACCUUUCUUCCUGUGGGUUGCCAGUCUCUCCCUAGGGCCCUGUGGGUGUUCUUUGAAGUCAGGUUGAUUUCAUCAGCACGGGUGUGGCUUUGAGGUGAGAGCCAAGGACAGGAGAGGAAGGACAUCCUUGGUACUCUCACUGGUCACAGACCAAUCAUGGCGUCAAUAGUCAGACCAGCUUUAGGAAAGUCCACAGGCAGGCUCAGAGCUUCCUGUGUCCAUAGAGACACAAACCUGGGACGCCACAACCUCGUCAUCACAAUACAUUGUCUCUAUCCUGGACAGAAUGCCCAGAGGGCAGAAGUGGAACAGCUUGUCUUAGAAGACCCCAGGGUCCACCUGCCAUGUGGAUCAACUUUUCCCGGAGUCUUACAAAAACACAUUUCAUCCAACUUCCUCAGGCUAAAUUUGAAGUAAAGAACUCACUUUGUCUGCAGCUGCUACUGUGGUUAGUGUGCCUUCCCUGUACACGAAUCAUUAAAGUCUCUCAGGCUUAAUUUCCUCAUCUGAAAAAUGGGCAUAAUACCAGGCUUCCUGAAUUCCAAGCCGCCCUCUGCAGUAUUUCUGAACUCAGCCUAUAGGUUUGAGCACGUAUUCAUCUUGUUGUUGUUUCUUUUAUCCAAGAAGGCUGUGGAAAGACCACUGAUAUUUUUUAAUACUGUUAGUAAUAGUCACAGCUUCGGUCAUGUGAUUAAAAUAAUUUGCCAAUUUAACUACCACAGUUCAAUGGUUUUUAAUAGACUCCCAGAACUGCACAUCCAUCACUACAGACAUUUUCCUAAUAGCCCAUUAGCUGUCACUUUUGUCUUCCUUCAAUUUGCCUGUCCUGUGUAUUUCAUACCAACGGAACAUCAUAUGCCUUGCCUGGGAUUUCCUCCUUUCACUUAGUGUCGUGUCUUCAAGGCCCAUCCGUGCCAGACCUGGCACCAGCGUUUCGUUUCUUCCUUGGCCUGGUUGAUAUCCAGCUGUAUGAAUGUGUAUCUUUGUAUCUAUUCGUUCAUUCACUGACAGUUGUUCUUACUUUUGUGGUUGUGUAGUUAUUUCCUGUGAUUUAAGCAUUCCCUCCUCAAGACUUAGGAAGUAAAUGAAAUUUAUAAGACUCAGGAAGCAAACAAAACGUGCAGUCUCUGAGAGCUCCAGAAAUUUAAAGGAUUCACAAAGCCUAUCUCCCUGAGGUUAUCUAGGCAGAAACAAAUGCUGGGAGAGGAGAUACUCUGACCAGUGGAGUUGCUCUGACCAGGACAGCCGCACACAAGUCAUGUGGAGAGCUCUCAUGAGUCAUUGUCCACUGUGGUGUGGGUUUCCUGGUAAUACAGCUGAUUUUGGGUUACCCAGGUCCCCACUGGUAACCCAUCACCUUUAUUCCUGAAAUCAACCACAAUGAACCCAAGCUACACUUGGCCGUAAUUUUUCCUUUGGUCUGUCACCCAUACCCCAAUCUGGAAUGAGAGGACAUUUGUUUAUAUCUCCUCAGGAAAAGCCACCCGAUCCUUUCGUUUCUUAUAUCAAUAAAACUGCUCUGAGCAGUGCCUGGGAGUUGGCAUUUUCUUUCUGUUGGCUGUGUAGCCAGAGGUAGAACUACCGGCUCAUGUGUUAAUUUGGAAGUUGCAUUUAUAGCACUUUUCAGAAUCUCAGGAGUAUUUUAUAGAGUAGCUGUCUAUAGCCAGAUCACCCUGAACACCUCCAGUCCCAUCUAAAGUAAGAACACCAUCUUACAAUGCGAUCGUUAGCAUAUGCUGACUCUAAUUUCUUCAUGUCCUUGUCAAUGGCUUUUCUAUUAGAGCCAUCCUACCAAGAGUGUCUUUCUGUGCCGUAGCUACCACUUCCCCGAUGUCAGUAAUGGUGACCACCUUUGCCUCUUGGUGAUGGUUAUAUCUUACUUGGGAAGAUGCCUUAUUCAAAUCUUUUGCCAUUUAAAGUUGGAAUAUCACUGUUUAUUGUUUAAUUGUAAGAGUUCAAUUUAUAGUCUAGGUUGAAGUGCCUUCGUGACCUGGACUAGCAGGUCAUUCUUCAACAACAGGUUCCUGAGAAAGAGAGGACCAGGGAGCAGGAAGAUAAGGAGACAAGUUUGAGAUCGGGAGGUCUUGCAUAAGCCGCAUCUUAUGCCAAGCUAGCUAAUUAAGAAGCAAGCAUCUUAUACAGUUUUUAGGGGAGAAGUGGGACUGUGUCAGCAGAAAGCUAUCAUACAAAGGGACAAAGUCAGCAGGAAGCUAAUCGAGUCAUGUUGCAUGAAAGGAACACAGAGUAUUCUAAGUGCAGCACAGACAGCACACAGCAGUCUUGGGAGUGAUAACCAUAGGCCCUUAAGGGUGGGCAGAGUUAGCGUCUCAGGAACCAAAAAUCAGAGCUGUGACUCCCCCAAGGCCCUGGCCCCGGGCCAUUACUGGCUCUGCCAAGUAUAUUCCUUGUAUUAGAGAAGAAAUUGUGUUCCUUUUCUAUACACCAGGUCCUCAGGGAAAAAGUCCCAGGGCCCUGGCCCCAGGCUAUUACUGGCUCUGCCAAGCUUGUUCCUGGUUUAGAGAAGGAACUAUAUUCUCCAUAGACCAGAGCCUCGGGGAAAGUUUUGCCCUCACCAUCUUACUGGAUAAAUGAUUUACAAAUAUUUUCUCCCGUUACAUGGACUGUCUCUUCAUUUUCUUAAUGGGAUCCUUUGACUCACAAAUGGUAAUUCUGAUGGCGUUCAACUCACCUUCAUUUUCUAUUCAUUGAUUUUUUCACUGUAAUGUUAUAAUGGAGAAAGAAUUUUCUAACGCAGCAUCAUGACGAUUUCCUUUUACUCUAAGACUCCUAGAGCUUUUAUUCUGACGUUUAGGUUGGUGACCACUUCAAGUUAGUAUUUCUAUAUAGUGUGAGGUAGGAGCCCAGCAUCAUUGUUCUCAGUGGCUAUGAAAUUGUUGCAGGUGAACUCUUGGAACUCUUCUUGACAACUAGUUGACUACAUGUGGGAUUAUUUUUCUAUGGACUCUCUAUUCUCUUCCCUUCUUUAGGCUUCUCUUCACGUAGAAAGUGCUGCACAAUUCAAUUGCAUCUAAAAUCAGAAAAUAGAAGUCUUUCAACUUUGGUUUUCUUUCUUGAAAUCAUUGGGCUUGCUUUUCCAUUGGAAUUUGGGAUCUGUUUCCCAACAUCUGCAAAAGAAACUGAGAGAUUCAGUAGAGUGUACAUUGAAUCUAUACAUCAACUGAGGAAGGGUCAUCAUCUUAACAACAUUAAGUCCUUCAGCACAAGGCACAGUUCCCAUUUAAUUAUAUUUUUUUCAGAAAUUACUCAUAGAUUGUAUCCUUAUUAAGUUUAUACUUGUCAAUUUGUUCCUAUUUUGUGCUGUUGUAAAGAAGAUGGUUUUCUUAGUUUUAUCUUCAAAGUCCAGUCCUGGUCUACAGAAAUGAAAUUGCUUUUCAUUCAUGGCUGGUCUACAAAUGAAACUCUGCUACAUUUGGACAUGGGUAGGGUUUGUUGUUAUUUUAACGUUCUUUUGUAGGUUGUUUAGGAUUUUCUCUCCCAAGAUCAUGCUGCAUGCAUUUUCUUCCUCAAUCAAAAUUAUUAAUCCUUCCUCCUCUGACUUACAUGCCCCAUGAAAGGAUACUGUAGAGGAUUUUGUCAAAUUGUUACAGUAAACUUAGUUACACCAUUUCUUAGCUCUCAUUGUUCCUCUUAGGGAGAAAAUCCAUGGACCACUCUAUUCACUGCUCACAGGAAGGACACUCCUCCCUUCUCUGCUGCAGAGAGACAUGCUUGGAGGGAGAGUAGCUCAUUUGGGUUACCAGCACAAGGGAAGCACCUGAUGUGCUUUGGCCUUUGCAAGGACUCCUGAUCAGAACUUGCCUUGAUGAAGGAAUUCCUUCGUAUGUCCCACAUAUGCCCUUCAGUGCAAAGAGCAGAGCACUUGAAUGUAUAACAGCACCCUUUGUGCAAAAUGGCUCACAGCUGUCUGAGCUAUUCCCGUAAGACAAAAACAUGAAGUCCCACCCACUUUAUGGAAGAAACUCAACCAAAGGAUUGUCUGACUUGAGAUCUUAGGACACUGGACACUCCAUCAACAAUAACAACACCAGAAGAAGAGUAAACAUGUUUGGCACAGAACUUGGGCAGUCUACCCACCAUGUGGGUUCCAGGAAUUGAACUCAGGUUAUCAAUGCGAACCAGAAUUCCUGAAACAACUGAUUGAUUAGAACUGUAGUGAUUUGGAGAAAUUGGAGUGUUGUAAAUCCAGGGCCUAAUUACUCUUUAUCUUUAAUUUCGAAGCUAGCCUUUGCCCCCUAAAUGGCCAUUCCAUGCUGACCUCUGUUUGACCUAACAUCCUGUGGUUAAUGGAUUUCCAUUCACGGAAAAGUUAAGAGCAUCAUCAGAUGGCAGAGGAGACCCAUCUUUCUGUACCUUCUGAUGUUUCCAACAAUCAAUUGUUUAAAUAUCUUGACUUAUUCUUUGUUCUGUUACUACAAAACUCCACAAUUAAAGCAUUAUGCUCCACACUGAAACAUUAUAUUGAGGGUAAUCUAAAUGGUUUCUGGGCCGUGGACACUCAUGAUGUUUCCUGUAGAUAUACUGUGUUUCUUAUUCCUUUGAGAGAAGAGUUGUUUCUUUUGAUGACACAGUGCUUAGGUGCAGUUACUCUUAUCUACAGAGCCAUCUCCCCUGCCUGCAUGUGGCCUCUCUGAGACAACGGUUGACUAUUGGACCCUACUGGGGAGAGGUAUAUAGCAUUGUCAUUGAAUGGUGUACUUUGCCAAUAUCCCCUUUCAUGUUGCAUCAGAGAGAUCCUGUGUGCAGCAGUCUCCAUUGUGACAUGAGAAGGCUCUGGGAUCAAGCCAGCUGUUCUUAGGAAGUUCUGGAAGAGUGUUGGCAUGGCAGCGGCCCUUCUCUUUCAACAGCACAUUUGAUUAACUUAAACCCUGCCUGCCACACUGGAUAGCUGAAACCUGGUAUCCCAGUGACCUAAGACGGGUAAGAUAAUUUCUUGUCUUACCUGAGUAUUGGAAUCAUCCUCUCUUGCUAUUCAGUGUCCUUCAAACACUUAGGAAUGUAGCCAUGGACAGCCCAAGUCCCCCAUGUGACAAUUUUGCUCAAAGGUAGGUCAAGUGAAUAUGGUGAGCCUGGGUUAUAGGGUUACCAUGUUAUUUGGUUUUCUAAAUGGCUCAAGAGAAAUUAAAAACUUCAUGUCAAAGAGCUAAGUCCUCAACUGAAUGGGUAGGAUUAUGACAAAAUCUUAUAAAAUUAUUAUUAGAACUGUAUAAAUUAUUAAACUUAUGAAAAAGCCUCACAAAACAUUGGAGACUAUUCCUAAUGUUCAGGUUAAAAUGUCUGAGAGUAGAAGGAAGAGAAAAACAAUAUUCAAGAUGAUUUCUAUUCUAGCACCACCCAUCCCCAAAGGGGAAAGAAAGAAGGCCAUUAGGUUGUCAUGAAACUGGACUCUUGGGUUGCAAGGCCCUGACCAGGCAUAGUAACAGAAGUCAGCCUUGAGCCUUUUAACCACUGGAGGAUGGUUCAGUGGGGUCUCAAGUAGGAGCUCUGCUGGAGUUGAUGGCGUGAAGGAAAAGGAUUACCCAUCUCUUUUUGGAUUUUCCAAAGUCAGUACUAUGUAUUUGCUUGAGAUCAGGGAAGUGGUCCAAGGAUAUUUCUCCCUAAGGGAAACAAUGAGGGAGCUCUAACAAAUGGUGUCGUUAAGUUUACUGCAAAGCAUUUGACAAAAUUCGGCAUUCUUUCAAUGAAUGAAUGAUUAAUCAUUUUGAUUAAGGAAGAAUAUGCAUGCAGCAUGAGUCCCAGGAUGUGGACUGGUCUCCUGGGAGUGCCAGCAGAAAAGCUUCCCACUGUAGUAGAUCGAGAAGAGUGAACAAUUCACCAGGAGAGGAGAGAACCACUGUUGGGGUCUGUUUCUUUACCUGUAACAUGAACAACUUUCUCGUUAUGUUAGGCUAAGGGUAUAGUCCUAACAAGUUUGGUUCAGCCUUGCUCUGCAGUGGAAGUUUUUUUUUUUUUGGGGGGGGGGCGAAUAAUAGAAGUUGUAGUGUUAAAAUAAUAGCAAAUAGCUUUUAAUCCAACGUUCGUUUUUAAAAAACUGUCUUUGAAAUGGCAGUCACAGCAGAACCCACUUGUGAGAGAAGUACUUUUAGUGAUGCUCGACAGGUUCCCUGAACUCAGCCCAAGGCAGAGGAUUAUUCUUUUGCCUGAAGAGAGUGGGAACAAAAAGAGACAAGGGGAUGAUUUGCAAAUCUAAAUCUCUGUGACCCAUCUUCCAGGGAGAGGCACGAGUGUAAGCACAGAAGGGAUCUGAAGGAAUUCUGGGUUCUUCCCUCUUUGACAUUGUGUCUGGGAUUAAACCCCAUACCCUAAUGCAUGUUGGGCUGGGGCUCAAGAGUGUGGUAGGAUGGGAUGGUGUGUGAUGGGAGGGGACGGACAUUUGACUUGAGUGAUGGGUCCUUCAAUCCCAAAGGCCUUGAUUUUAAUUAUCAGCAUAUGUAGGCACACACAUGGAGCACAGAAAUUCAUGAAAGCCAUAGUGACUGGGACCUGAGAUUUUGGGUGGAAAGUUUUACAUUCAAAACAUUCAAAACCAGACAUGGUGGCAGAUAUCUUUAAUCCCAGGAUUUGGGAGGCAGAGGCAAGGGGAUUUCUGUGAGUCUGAAGCCAGCCUGAUUUACAGAGUAAGUUCCAGGACAACCAGGGCUAUGUAGAGAGAUCCUGUCUCAAAAAAGAAGAAAAAAAAAAAAAAGAAAUAAAGUAGCAAAAAAAGAAUACAUAGCAGAUACAAUGAGUAUUUUUAAAAAUUAAAUAGCAAUGUUCAUAUAAGCCUCACACUCUAAUCUAAUAGACAUUCAACACUGUAGGCUUUGCUUUGAAUCUUAAGUUUGGGGUGUUUCCUUUCUUCUCUUUCCUUCUUUCUCUCUCUCUCUUUCUUUCUUUCUUUCUUUCAUCUUUCUGUCUUUCUUACUUUUUUCCUGUCUGUCUGUCUGUCUUUUCUUUCGUUCUUCUUUCUAAUAGGAUGUUACCAAUGGUGCUGAAGCUUCAGACCCCCACCCUGACAUCAGUGUCACCUCCCCGGAGAUUGUUCACUUUGACAACACUCAAUCUCACAAACAAAAGCUGGGUUUUGGGGUGUGGGGUUCAAGAGAACACUGAGACAGAUCUCUGGGGAAUAAGUUUACUAGAAAACUUAUUAACACCAUGGACAGACAGACACAGAGACAGCAUGGCAUGGUCUCUGGAGAGAGGAAUCAGACCACACAGGCAGAAGCAGGCUCUCGUUUUAAUGCCUUUCCUGAGGAUGGAGGAUUUUCACACAAAUGUGUAGCCAGGAUAAAGGGAGCAGGGAACAAGAUGUGUGGUACCAAUCCACAAACCCCUUCCAUUGAUGUUAGCUCAUUUCCCAAAUGAGAGAUCCUGGCCCAGGGUGUUGGCCAACUGGGGACUCAUAGACAAGGUCUCAGGAGGCUACCCAGGAGGGUAUCUAUGUCUGUGAGUGGAAGCUGCUGGAGAUAUUCUGUCCUAAGCAGAGGCCGGAUACUCAAGGCUUCUGGCCCUUGAGGGACUGGUCGCUCAGUUCAAAUAUCCCUCCUUUCCCAUCACACACCACUCCCUCUUAUCACUCCAUUCUUAAACGAGCGUCCUUAGAAUCAGGAAGCUGACAUUGCACUGUGUGGUUUUACACCACACACGAUUUGCUAGUGUUUUCAAAGCAUACCGCCAUUGUCGGAGAUUUGCCCCCUUGAGACUGAGACUUGGGUCUCGUGAGUCUGCCUCAAAGCUCUCCCUGGGGAAAUUUUUUUUUGUAUGCCUAAGAGUGGAUUUGCCUAAACUUCACUGAAGAGAGAAGAUAACAAAAGUGUUCACAGCCAUCACACCACCCAAACUUAGUGCCUUAACCCAUUGGUAAUAAAUGGUUGAGCUCCUGAAUUUUCAAUGUGGGCAGAGCACAACUCUGUCCCCAACAGCAUUAGCUGAAGGGGCUCAGAAGCUAGCCUCCCCACAAGUAUUCUGUAGUGACUAAGGACCCCUUUCCACCUAAGAUAAUUCUACACAGGCUACGUGUGUAACAAUAUAGGACAGGUAUAUAGAUCAAACAUUGACUGACAAUAAACCACAGAGAGGUUCAUUUUAAGACAAUUCUUUGAGAGAUACGUAUGUGCAGCCUUACCACAUAUUAAAUAGGAAAGCAAUUUCGCACACCACCGAGAUGAAUACGCUUGGCUAUUUUUAUAUAAAGAGUGAAAUCUUGCUAGUGCAGGAUGUAGAGUUCGUCAAAGCGUUUCAGAGUUGACUGAUGCUUUGAUUUUAGGAUUAUUGAUGCUGCGACCACUGCUUCACAUAAAUACAUAGUGCACACGACAUAAGGGUGUGUAGGGACAUUUCAGAGUAAAAAUGGCAUUUGGAAGUCCUGCGCUAUCCCAAACCAAGAUUCGCUUAAUGGUUUUUAAUGAACUCAUCAGCAAUUCGAAGUUCAAGUUUUAAAAUCGAGCACUGGACGGGCAGUGGUGGAACACAGUUUUAAUACCUGGAAGGCAGAGGCAGGCAGAUCUGAGUUUGAGGCCAGCCUGGUCUACAGAGAUAGUUCCAGGAUAGCCAGAGCUACACAGACAAACCCUAAAAAGAAAUAAAAAACAAAACCAAGCACUGUGACACAAGGGAACCUAAAGAUAUAGUAAUUUAAUACUUACCUCUUGAAGAAAAUGCCGGAACAUGUUAAGUGCCUUUGUUUUCUGUAAUUAGACCAGUGUGUUUCUAUAGAAGAAUGAAGCUAUUUCUGUACAGUAAGAACAACAACAAACGCUAAAGGACUGCAGCUCAUAUGACACAUCUGGAAUAUGAGGCCCGUGCUCCAGCUGCGUUCACUGGCACUGCACGGUGGGAGAGCAUGCAAGGUGUGGUGAGCACAACGCUCUCUCACACUGUGACUUCAGAACCAAGGCCGCAGUGAGCUCUCUCAGUGCCCCGCAGAUAAAAGUUUGAAUUUUGCCCGGGAGGGACCCUCCAGAAUUAUCAUUAAAGAAAAUAUACGCAAAGAACAGAAGGGUCCCAUGCUGCCCUCUCCACAACAGAGUGUGGUGAUAUCCACUGGAAGGUCUUGUUGUCUCACAGAGGAACUUCCUCCUUCUGUAGGGAGGGUCUCCUUCUACAGUCCUUGUGCUGACCUCACCUGAACCUAUAGCGAGCUCAAAGUACUUCCACACCGAAGAUCCACCUUUGGGUUCCCCGUUUUGACCUGAAGCAUCCCAAGCUCUGCCUCGUGGUCAUGCUGCCUUCUCUCAGAUGGCUAGCAUGCUCCGAUGCCUCCCUCUAACAGCAGUAACCAUGACGUUUAGAGUUCUCCUUGAAGAUCUGCUUGGCAAUCUCCUCAUCUCCAAGAUGUCAUAUGAAGACGACACACUCAGCUUCCAGGGACUGGUGUUUGAUAUCCUGGUCAUCCUUCCAAACCAACUGAAGAGAAAGAGUGACGUAAGUGCAAACAUGCCCUUCACCCUCUCCCACAGGGCUUCCAUUAGAAGCUGCGGAUUGCCAGAGAGCCAGACAUGGAGGUUUGAAUGACUGUAACCCCAGUAAGUAGACAGGAGGGUGACAGGAAGCUGCCUUAGGACACGGAUGCUCAAUCCCAUGGAGGGUCGGCUGAAUAUGGUUUUGCUGACCCCCCCCUUGUACCCCACGACAGCAGCGAUAGGCAUCUACCUGUCUCCAACACCACUGCUACUGAGGGAGAAAAACAGGGUAUAAAGCCAUUACCCCACGGCAGCUCAUCUGUGAGCAUGCCUGCCGCCAGCUGCUCUUGGCUUGGCAGCACCCCUUCUGCUAAAGGUGGCUGGAAUUCCACUGCGUGCUCUCCCACACUUGGCUGUUAAUUGAAGCGCAAAGAUAACAUCAUCAAUCCAAAAGGGUCAUGAGUCCUUUUUGCCCUCUUGGCAAGUUAAUGUGGCCUAAUAUUUGUUUAAAGCCCACCUAUUCUUUUAAAAGACACUUUGUCCAGCGGAGUUUUGAUAAGUGCCUACCCCCCUCGCUCCUUUAAGCAAUAAAGUCAGAUUUUUUCCCCUUUUCUGUCCUGUGAGCAGCCAGCUUUUCUGAAGGAAGAUUGGCUUUAUAAAUGAGAAACAGAUCCUGCCCCAUAAAAGAUCUAAGACAUGGCUAUUGGGCCCAGACCUCUGCUGGGUGUGCUUUUAACUGCUAAGCCAUCUCUCCAGCCUAGUUUAAAAAAAUAAUUUCUGUCUAAAUCGUAUUUUUAUUAUUACAAAUAAGGGAGGGGAUCCAAAGGGAUCCACCACCACGCCCAACCCAAAACCCCUCCGCAAAUCUGAACAGAAGUGGUCAAAAUGACCCCAUUCCAAGACCCGUAGUCUGCAAAGAAAACCACACAUUUGAAGCAUUGAAGAGAUUUGUAAAGGUACAGACGCUGAACCCCAGCUCCGGAGAUCCUGAUUUAGCUGUUGUGAAGCAGAUCGGAGAGCAGUAUUUUUAAGAACACAUCCCCAGACAAUUCUAAUGGGCAGCUGGAGUUGGAAAGCACCAGACCAUUGAAAUAAAUUGCCACACAGCACAUCAUUCAUAAAUGUCUCUUAAAAACACAAUGCCGCCGAGUGAUCGGUACUUUAGAGCCACCGUGUCCCCACGCUGCCAGCCCAGUAGGUUCUCUCUAAUUUUUAUUGAAGUAUCACCGCCAGAAAGAGACACGUGCUCACUGCAUUCUCUGCAGCACUGCUGCUGAUAGCAAGAGAAUUUACAUUUUCAAUAUCUGUCAACGGGAGGGAUGGAGGCAUUGAACACGCUCCUGCAACGACCUGUCAUGCGGCAGCUAAAAUGAAUGAACUAGAUAUGCAACAGUCGAAGCCAGUGUCACCGGAUUCAGCGGUGAGCGAAAAGAAUCCAUUUCAGGGGGGGAAAAAAUUCUAGCGUGAUACUAUUUGUGCUGGAAGUGUUAAAAAAGGAAAGCUCUGAAUGGCUGGAGUGUGGUAGGAGGCAGACACCGAGGUGAAC